ACCGCUCAGUAACACGUGGACAACCUACCCAAAGGUCUGGGAUAACUCCGGGAAACUGGGGAUAAUACCGGAUAGGUCAAGAGUACUGGAAGGGUUUUUUGAUUGAAAGCUCUGGCGCCUUUGGAUGGGUCUGCGGCUGAUUAGGUUGACGCCGGUGUAAAGUACCGGCGUGCCGAUUAUCAGUACGGGUUGUGGGAGCAAGAGCCCGGAGAUGGAUUCUGAGACACGAAUCCAGGCCCUACGGGGCGCAGCAGGCGCGAAAACUCUACAAUGCAGGCAACUGCGAUAGGGGAACAUCGAGUGGCAUCUACAUUAGGUGUCUGUCCAGCUGUCUAAAAAACGGCUGUUAGCAAGGGCCGGGCAAGACCGGUGCCAGCCGCCGCGGUAAUACCGGCGGCUCGAGUGGUGGCCGAUAUUAUUGAGUCUAAAGGGUCCGUAGCCGGCUUUGCAAGUCUUGUGGGAAAUCCAGCGGCUUAACCGUUGGGCGUCUGCGGGGUACUACAUUGCUUGGGACUGGGAGAGGUAGGAGGUACUCAGGGGGUAGGAGUGAAAUCCUGUAAUCCUCUGGGGACCACCGGUGGCGAAGGCGUCCUGCCAGAACAGGUCCGACGGUGAGGGACGAAAGCUAGGGGCACGAACCGGAUCAGAUACCCGGGUAGUCCUAGCCGUAAACGAUGCUCGCUAGGUGUCGCAACAGUCGUGAAUUGUUGCGGUGCCGUAGGGAAGCCGUGAAGCGAGCCACUUGGGAAGUACGACCGCAAGGUUGAAACUUAAAGGAAUUGGCGGGGGAGCAC
rnacentral:rRNA from 1 species